UAUGCUUAGCCACAAACUUUCAUUUACACCCCCAAACGCCCGGGAACUACGAGCAAAGCUUAAAACCCAAAGGACUUGACGGUGCCCCAUAUCCCCCUAGAGGAGCCUGUCCUAUAAUCGAUAACCCCCGUUUAACCUCACCACUUUUUGCCUUUCAGUCUGUAUACCUCCGUCGUCAGCUUACCACGUGAGUGAAAUAUAGUAAGUUCAAUGUCCUAUUACACGUCAAUACGUCAGGUCAAGGUGCAGCUAAUAAAGUGGGAAGAGAUGGGCUACACUCUCUAAUUUAGAACAUACGAAAGACUACUAUGUAAGCUAGUCAAAAGGUGGAUUUAGUAGUAAAAAAAGACCAGAGUGCUUUUUUUAACUAGGCCCUGGGGUGUGUACACACCGCCCGUCACCCUCUUCGUAGCCAGAAUUUAGUAAUUAACAAAAUUUGCACAGUAGAAGAGGUAAGUCGUAACAUGGUAAGUAUACCGGAAGGUGUGCUUGGAAA
rnacentral:rRNA from 1 species